AGGUAAGAAUUGUAGUUGCCUCCCCCAAAGCUGGGCUUUUGCGCUGUGCCGCUGCUCAAGUCUUUUUUGUUGUGCUCCCCUCCGUUCUCUCUUUCUACUCUUGGCAGCUUAUUUUAUUUGAUUUAGAAAGGAUUCAAUUCCUUCACUCAGACAACUCCAGAACUCUUUUUUGCUGCCUGCCACUCCUUGGUGACUGACUUCAUCAGUAAAUCAACUUCACUUUCUUGAAAUUUCUAUGGGUUAUUCUCAGAUUUUUUUUUUCAAGAAAUUUUGGAUAAGAGAUGAAGACUAUAUGAUGAAGAAGAAGAGAUAGGAAAUCUGAUGAAGAAGAAGAAUAGAAGGUGCGGCGUGUGAUGGAGAGAAAGAGAGGGUAGGUCCGUCAUAAAUGUUGUUUAAGGGAAUAAGUUGAGGGCUUUGUCCAAAACCUUUCAAUUUGCUCCGGAAUGGGAUAAGUCCGAUUUUUUAGAAAUGAUUCCAAAAAUUACAUUUCAAUAGGCUUAACCCAAGCAACAAAUAAGGGGUUUAUUCCAUUCUGUGAUUCUCAAACCCUUUAACCAAGCAGUCCCUAAGUUCUGUAUCAAUUGUAUUUAGGGUUUGUCCUAGAGGCGUCCACUGAAUAUUAGUAUUUAAUAAGGAUCCACUGUAUUAGUACAUUGGAAAAGUGAAAUUAGAUUGAGGAAAUAUCUAAAUGAAGGGGUUUUAUAAGUGCUCA